rnacentral:lncRNA from 1 species
CCUAGCAUGCACUAUCGUUACUGUUAUUAUUUUUACCAUGUACACAUGAAUUUUUGAAAGAAAAUAAUCAAUGAUAGCGUUGUCACAUCGUGCAUAUAUUUAUUUUUCCCUUAUGUUACAUCGUUACUAAAUAGUAAAUAGUGAUUGGAAUCACACAAUAUCGGUGGUGGGCAAAUUCUGCGUACAUAUUCAACGUUGCUAAAUCUUGUAGCGAGAGCACAAGUUAAGGAGCUCUCGGGGGAAAGAGUCUACAAGACUUUUCUGUUUCUCUCUUAUAAGGAGGCCUUCUUUGGUGAGCUCCACAAGGCGGGGAAGGGCUUACGCCUAUCUUUUUUGUCCAUUUCACAACACCUAUUACAAAAUUAACCCACCAGAUAGAAUUAUUAAAGGAAGCUGUAAUUAGAAAAUUUAUUUAAAGUAAUAACUUACUAAACUGUAAAUUUUAUAAUUUUCUGAGUAAAAAAGAGACUGACCUAGGUGACGGAAUCUUGCCUCUGUCACACCAACCUGUAAGGAUACACAUAAAAGUAUAUGAACCAAGCUUAGAAGAAGAAAUUGUAUUGUUUUCCUCUCUGUCAUUGUUUUUCUU